GAGUUUGAUCGUGGCUCAGAACGAACGCUGGCGGCGUGGAUAAGACAUGCAAGUCGAACGAUUACUAUCGGGUAGCAAUAUUCGGUAGUGAGAGUGGCGCAAGGGUGCGUAACACGUGGGCAAUUUGCCAUGAAGUCUGGAAUAACUUGCUGAAAGGCGAGCUAAUACCGGAUGUGAUAUCUGGAAGGCAUCUUCUGGAUCUUAAAGUCGGGGACCGUAAGGCCUGACGCUUCUUGAUAAGCCCGCGGCCUAUCAGCUAGUUGGUGAGGUAACGGCUCACCAAGGCUAAGACGGGUAGCUGGUCUGAGAGGACGACCAGCCUCACUGGAACUGAGACGCGGUCCAGACACCUACGGGUGGCAGCAGUCGAGAAUUUUUCACAAUGGGCGAAAGCCUGAUGGAGCGACGCCGCGUGGGGGAUGAAUGGCUUCGGCCCGUAAACCCCUGUCAUUUGCGAUCAAACCUUACGAUUUAACACAUCGUGAGCUGAUAGUAGCGAAAGAGGAA
rnacentral:rRNA from 1 species